UUGUUGGCAGUGUUGAGGCGGCGUAGUGAGGUGACGUCAAGAUUCUGUCUCACUUCCUCGGACGCGGCACCAGGAGAGGACGACACGUAAACCUUCUUCUGUUUCGGGAGUGAGAAUGCCAGUAUGGAUUCAGAAGAACAGAACCAGGUUAUGGAAAAGCUGCCAGCUCUGACAGAGUCACAGAAACAGUCACUGCUGAAGCAGGAUGCGCGGGGCCUGGUGCCCGCUUUUCAUCAGCAGAAGUUGGAGAAGGAAGCUGCCAAGAACUGGGACAAGUUCUAUAAGCGCAAUGAGACCAGGUUCUUCAAAGACCGUCAUUGGACAACGAGGGAGUUUCAGGAGCUUGUUGGAGGUGGGGAAGUAUCUCGGGUGCUUUUAGAGGUUGGAUGUGGUGUUGGCAACUUUAUUUAUCCUUUGCUUGAAGAUGACCCAAACCUCUUUGUGUAUGCUUGUGAUUUCUCCUCACGAGCAGUCCAGUUCAUCAGGGAAAACCCCAAAUAUGAUCCAGCCAGGAUUCAUGCCUUUGAGUGUGACAUUGUUAAGGAAGAGUUGAGCAGCAAGCUGGAUGGUAAUAAAAUGGAUAUAAUCAGCAUGAUAUUUGUGCUGUCGGCCAUUCAUCCUGACAAGUUCAAGGACGUCAUUGGCAACCUGUACCGGUGUCUGCGUCCUGGUGGCGUGGUGUUAGUGCGGGACUACGGCCUAUACGAUAUGGCCAUGCUGAGGUUUGGGCCAGGCAGCAAGCUAGGCUCACAGCUGUAUGUGCGCCAGGAUGGGACCAGGGCAUAUUACUUCAAGGACGAGCUAGGCAGUCUCUUCCAAGAGGCUGGGUUCACUGCUGCUAGUUGUCAUUACGUGGCUCGCCAAACUGUAAACAAGAAGGAAGGUGUUAAUGCACGGAGGAAUUUCAUUCAAGGGAAAUUCUUGAAGCCUACAGAAUGAGAGCCUGGGUUUUUCUAUGUCUGGGACAUGGGAAAGUCCAGGUUUGUGCUGGAAGCAUCAAGAUCAUUCAGUCCUGGAGAGAAUGGGUGAGGACUCAGCACUGCUGUCUCCAAACAGAUACAGCACCCAACUACCUGCAGAUGAUCUUGGGCAUGGUUAAGCUCAUUUUGUCAAUACGGUGCCCAAAAUCAAAUAUUGAAGACUGGGUUGGAAUGUCAUUUAUUUGAAGCUUGGGAAUGUUGGAUUUGGUGUUAGUGGUGGCUUGCAGUGGUGUUAUGGAAGUGUUAUGAUGGAUCUAUGGAGAUACGCCGGUACUUGGUGCUUUGAUGGUGGUGGAGUCUUGAGUCUGUCAUGUGAAGUGAGCUUCAAAGUAAUGAGGUUGUGUGUGGACUGCAAGAAUGGUUUACCCUGUGCUGCGUGCUGGCAUUGCUGCUGCUUGAGCAAUUGUCUGAAUAGACAUGACUGAUCCCAAAUAGGUAGCCUAAAUUAGUACAGUAUUUCAAAUAUUUUUA